UUGGUGACCAGCGGAGGGAUCAUUACCGAGUUUACAACUCCCAAACCCAAUGUGAACGUUACCAAACUGUUGCCUCGGCGGGAUCUCUGCCCCGGGUGCGUCGCAGCCCCGGACCAAGGCGCCCGCCGGAGGACCAACCAAAACUCUUAUUGUAUACCCCCUCGCGGGUUUUUUACUAUCUGAGCCAUCUCGGCGCCCCUCGUGGGCGUUUCGAAAAUGAAUCAAAACUUUCAACAACGGAUCUCUUGGUUCUGGCAUCGAUGAAGAACGCAGCGAAAUGCGAUAAGUAAUGUGAAUUGCAGAAUUCAGUGAAUCAUCGAAUCUUUGAACGCACAUUGCGCCCGCCAGUAUUCUGGCGGGCAUGCCUGUCCGAGCGUCAUUUCAACCCUCGAACCCCUCCGGGGGGUCGGCGUUGGGGAUCGGCCCUUUACGGGGCCGGCCCCGAAAUACAGUGGCGGUCUCGCCGCAGCCUCUCCUGCGCAGUAGUUUGCACACUCGCAUCGGGAGCGCGGCGCGUCCACAGCCGUUAAACACCCCAAACUUCUGAAAUGUUGACCUCGGAUCAGGUAGGAAUACCCGCUGAACUUAAGCAUAUCAAUAA
rnacentral:rRNA from 1 species